rnacentral:misc_RNA from 1 species
UUUCCGUAGGUGAACCUGCGGAAGGAUCAUUGUCGAAACCUGCCCAGCAGAACGACCCGCGAACUUGUAUAAACAACCGGGGGCGGGGGGCGUUCUCGCCCCGUGCCCCCGAACGGCGGGGAGACACUCGUGCCUUCUUGCCGAACAACGAACCCCGGCGCGGUCUGCGCCAAGGAACUUCAACUAAAGAGUGCCUCCGGUCGCCUCGGAAACGGCGUGCGUGCCGGGGGCGAAUCUCGUGCAAAACCAUACGACUCUCGGCAACGGAUAUCUCGGCUCUC